AUACUUACCUGGAUGGGGUCAAUGGGUGAUCAAGAAGGCCCAUGGCCUAGGGAAGUGACCUCCAUUGCACUUAGGAGGGGUGCUUUCCUAAGGUCUACCCAAGUGGUGGAGCCUACAUCAUAAUUUGUGGCAGUGGGGACCUGCGUUCGCGCGGCCCCUUUCAAUUUUAGUCCAAGGUUAUAUUUUAUUGUGGCCCAUUGCUUUUGUUGUACCAUAAUGACACCCUUUUUACAUUUUGAAAGUUCAUUUGGCUGUUCUCUGCUCAAUAUUAUUGGUAAUUGGAUUUGGUUAGAUCUAUAAAUUUUUGAAUAAAUUGAAGUAUUUCUCCCCAUCUUUUUCAAUCCUCUAAAUUGUAUUUGCUUAGAUAUUCCCAGAUUUUUUUAAUCUUUAUCUUCAACCUUAUAUUUUAGGCAUACAUUAAAAUUUGAGUCUAUAACGAAGUAAU